GACGAACACUGGCGGCGUGCUUAACACAUGCAAGUCGAACGGAAAGGCCCUGCUUUUGUGGGGUGCUCGAGUGGCGAACGGGUGAGUAACACGUGAGUAACCUGCCCUUGACUUUGGGAUAACUUCAGGAAACUGGGGCUAAUACCGGAUAGGAGCUCCUGCUGCAUGGUGGGGGUUGGAAAGUUUCGGCGGUUGGGGAUGGACUCGCGGCUUAUCAGCUUGUUGGUGGGGUAGUGGCUUACCAAGGCUUUGACGGGUAGCCGGCCUGAGAGGGUGACCGGCCACAUUGGGACUGAGAUACGGCCCAGACUCCUACGGGAGGCAGCAGUGGGAAUAUUGCACAAUGGGCGGAAGCCUGAUGCAGCAACGCCGCGUGCGGGAUGACGGCCUUCGGGUUGUAAACCGCUUUCGCCUGUGACGAAGCGUGAGUGACGGUAAUGGGUAAAGAAGCACCGGCUAACUACGUG
rnacentral:rRNA from 1 species